rnacentral:tRNA from 1 species
GACAAUAUAGCCAAGUGGUUAAGGCGACAGAUUAGAAUCGCAUCGGCGUACUAUCUGUUUCCCUCUGGGAGCGUAGGUUCGAACCCUACUGGUGUCG